AAUAAGAUCAUUUCUCAGUUUUUUGAUACAAUAUUUUGACUCUUCAUCUUAUUUAAAUUUUUUUUGUGAUUAAUAUUUUUAUUCUUACUAGAUAAUAAAGCAUAAAUAGUAUUUUAUACGUGGCUAAUUUUUUAAAAUUUUUUAUAAUUUUUAAAUAAAAUAAAUGGUCAAAUGUUAGACAUGAAAAAAC
rnacentral:pre_miRNA from 1 species